rnacentral:misc_RNA from 1 species
AAGUCGUAACAAGGUUUCCGUAGGUGAACCUGCGGAAGGAUCAUUAUUGAAGUCUUUAAAAAAAUCAAUGGGAGCUCUGGAUCCACUGUUGCUGGCUUCAUUUUGUUGCAUUGUGCACGUGUUUUUAUCUCUCAUUUGAUUUGAUCACAUUACCCCCACACACCUGUGAACCAUUGUGGAAAAUAAAGGCGUUUCGCCCUACUUCCAUUUUUUAUUACACACACACUAUCUAUCUAUAUGAACAUUAAUUUUGAUUUAAAAAAAAAAAAUACAACUUUCAACAACGGAUCUCUUGGCUCUC